rnacentral:rRNA from 1 species
AUAUGUCUACAACAUAGCGUUAAUGCACCAUAUCCCAUUAGAACUCUGUAGUUAAGCGUGAUCACACUAGAGUAGUAUUGGGAUGGGUGACCACCUGGGAAGUCCUAGUGUUUUACAUGCC